UGGGGAAUAUUGGACAAUGGGCGAAAGCCUGAUCCAGCCAUGCCGCGUGAGUGACGAAGGCCUUAGGGUUGUAAAACUCUUUCGUCGGGGACGAUAAUGACGGUACCCGAAGAAGAAGCUCCGGCUAACUUCGUGCCAGCAGCCGCGGUAAUACGAAGGGAGCUAGCGUUGUUCGGAAUCACUGGGCGUAAAGCGCACGUAGGCGGAUAGUUAAGUCAGGGGUGAAAUCCUGGGGCCCAACCCCAGAACUGCCUUUGAUACUGGCUGUCUCGAGGUCGAGAGAGGUUGGUGGAAUUCCUAGUGUAGAGGUGAAAUUCGUAGAUAUUAGGAAGAACACCAGUGGCGAAGGCGGCCCACUGGAUCGGUACUGACGCUGAGGUGCGAAAGCGUGGGGAGCAAACAGGAUUAGAUACCCUUGUAGUCCCUGAGCGGGCUGGCAAGGCGCAU
rnacentral:rRNA from 1 species